AUUGAACGCUGGCGGCAGGCUUAACACAUGCAAGUCGAGCGGAGAUGAGGUGCUUGCACCUUAUCUUAGCGGCGGACGGGUGAGUAAUGCUUAGGAAUCUGCCAUUUAGUGGGGGACAACAUUCCGAAAGGAAUGCUAAUACCGCAUACGUCCUACGGGAGAAAGCAGGGGAUCUUCGGACCUUGCGCUAAAUGAUGAGCCUAAGUCGGAUUAGCUAGUUGGUGGGGUAAAGGCCUACCAAGGCGACGAUCUGUAGCGGGUCUGAGAGGAUGAUCCGCCACACUGGGACUGAGACACGGCCCAGACUCCUACGGGAGGCAGCAGUGGGGAAUAUUGGACAAUGGGCGGAAGCCUGAUCCAGCCAUGCCGCGUGUGUGAAGAAGGCCUUUUGGUUGUAAAGCACUUUAAGCGAGGAGGA
rnacentral:rRNA from 1 species